UACGGAGGGUGCAAGCGUUGUCCGGAUUUAUUGGGUUUAAAGGGUGCGUAGGCGGCUUUUUAAGUCAGUGGUGAAAGCCAACAGCUCAACUGUUGAACUGCCAUUGAUACUGAGAAGCUUGAGUACAGACGAGGUAGGCGGAAUUUAUGGUGUAGCGGUGAAAUGCAUAGAUACCAUAAAGAACACCGAUUGCGAAGGCAGCUUACUAGGCUGUAACUGACGCUGAGGCACGAAAGCGUGGGGGAUCAAACAGG
rnacentral:rRNA from 1 species